UCCAGUUACCCGCCCAUGCGUGACUGCCGUAUGAACAAAGGCGGUCACACAAGGCGGCUAGCAGGA
rnacentral:pre_miRNA from 1 species